rnacentral:misc_RNA from 1 species
AUCCUAAAUUACCAGAUUAUGAUGAACUGGCUGCUCUCUUUGAAGGUCUGAAGUACCACAAAUCACAAACCUUGAAGCUCUAAAGCAUCCCAAAUCACAAGCCUAGAGCAAAAUGCUUGGUGUAUCAUUUUUGUUAGCUUUUACAAGCCUUUGCAUGGUAUGGAUGAUCCUAUAUGGUAUAGAUAACAAACAAUGCGCAUUCUUUUUUCUAAUAUCUA